UACGAAGGGUGCAAGCGUUACUCGGAAUUACUGGGCGUAAAGCGUGCGUAGGUGGUUCGUUAAGUCUGUCGUGAAAGCCCCGGGCUCAACCUGGGAAUGGGGAUGGAUACUGGCGGGCUAGAGUGCGGUAGAGGAGAGUGGAAUUCCCGGUGUAGCAGUGAAAUGCGUAGAGAUCGGGAGGAACAUCAGUUGCGAAGGCGGCUCUCUGGACCAGCACUGACACUGAGGCACGAAAGCGUGGGGAGCAAACAGG
rnacentral:rRNA from 1 species